rnacentral:rRNA from 1 species
GACGAACGCUGGCGGCGUGCUUAACACAUGCAAGUCGAACGGAAAGGCCCUGCUUUUGUGGGGUGCUCGAGUGGCGAACGGGUGAGUAACACGUGAGUAACCUGCCCUUGACUUUGGGAUAACGUCAGGAAACUGGGGCUAAUACCGGAUAGGAGCUCCUGCUGCAUGGUGGGGGUUGGAAAGUUUCGGCGGUUGGGGAUGGACUCGCGGCUUAUCAGCUUGUUGGUGGGGUAGUGGCUUACCAAGGCUUUGACGGGUAGCCGGCCUGAGAGGGUGACCGGCCACAUUGGGACUGAGAUACGACCCAGACUCCUACGGGAGGCAGCAGUGGGGAAUAUUGCACAAUGGGCGGAAGCCUGAUGCAGCAACGCCGCGUGCGGGAUGACGGCCUUCGGGUUGUAAACCGCUUUCGCCUGUGACGAAGCGUGAGUGACGGUAAUGGGUAACGAAGCACCGGCUAACUACGUG